AGAGUUUGAUCAUGGCUCAGGAUGAACGCUGGCGGCGUGCUUAACACAUGCAAGUCGAACGAACCUUCGGGUUAGUGGCGGACGGGUGAGUAACGCGUGAGAAUCUGCCCUCAGGAGGGGGAUAACAGUUGGAAACGACUGCUAAUACCCCAUAUGCCGAGAGGUAAAAUGAAUUUUGCCUGGGGAUGAGCUCGCGUCUGAUUAGCUUGUUGGUGGGGUAAAGGCCUACCAAGGCUUCGAUCAGUAGCUGGUCUGAGAGGACGAUCAGCCACACUGGGACUGAGACACGGCCCAGACUCCUACGGGAGGCAGCAGUGGGGAAUUUUCCGCAAUGGGCGCAAGCCUGACGGAGCAACGCCGCGUGAGGGAUGGAGGCCUUUGGGCUGUAAACCUCUUUUCUCAAGGAAGAAGAUCUGACGGUACUUGAGGAAUAAGCCACGGCUAAUUCCGUGCCAGCAGCCGCGGUAAUACGGGAGUGGCAAGCGUUAUCCGGAAUUAUUGGGCGUAAAGCGUCCGCAGGCGGCCGUUUAAGUCUGUUGUUAAAUCGUGGAGCUCAACUCCAUCACGGCAAUGGAAACUGUUCGGCUUGAGUAUGGUAGGGGCAGAGGGAAUUUCCGGUGUAG
rnacentral:rRNA from 1 species